CACGUAGGGCGCAAGCGUUGUCCGGAAUUAUUGGGCGUAAAGAGCUCUGUAGGCGGGUUUGUCGCGUCUGCUGUGAAAACCCGAAGGCUCAACCUCGGGCCUGCAGUGGGUACGGGCAGACUAGAGUGCGGUAGGGGAGAUUGGAAUUCCUGGUGUAGCGGUGGAAUGCGCAGAUAAUCAGGAGGAACACCAAUGGCGAAGGCAGAUCUCUGGGCCGUAACUGACGCUGAGGAGCGAAAGCAUGGGAGCGAACAGG
rnacentral:rRNA from 1 species